rnacentral:rRNA from 1 species
AUUGAACGCUGGCGGCAUGCUUUACACAUGCAAGUCGAACGGUAACAGGCCGCAAGGUGCUGACGAGUGGCGAACGGGUGAGUAAUGCAUCGGAACGUGCCCAGUCGUGGGGGAUAACGCAGCGAAAGCUGUGCUAAUACCGCAUACGAUCUGUGGAUGAAAGCGGGGGACCGAAAGGCCUCGCGCGAUUGGAGCGGCCGAUGUCAGAUUAGGUAGUUGGUGGGGUAAAGGCUCACCAAGCCAACGAUCUGUAGCUGGUCUGAGAGGACGACCAGCCACACUGGGACUGAGACACGGCCGAGACUCCUGCGGGAGGCAGCAGUGGGGAAUUUUGGACAAUGGGCGCAAGCCUGAUUCAGCAAUGCCGCGUGCAGGAAGAAGGCCUUCGGGUUGUAAACUGCUUUUGUACGGAGCGAAAAGGCUCUCUCUAAUACAGGGGGCUCAUGACGGUACCGUAAGAAUAAGCACCGGCUAACUACGUGCCAGCCGCCGCAGUAACAC